CGGGAGGCAGCAGUGAGGAAUAUUGGACAAUGGAGGAAACUCUGAUCCAGCCAUGCCGCGGGCAGGAAGACGGCCCUAUGGGUUGUAAACUGCUUUUAUACAGGAAGAAACGUUAGUACGUGUACU
rnacentral:rRNA from 1 species